UGAGUCCUUCUCCAAGAAUCUCAAGCUUGGUAUCCAUGAGGACUCCCAGAAUAAGUCAAAGCUUGCAGAAUUGCUCAGAUACCACUCCACCAAGAGUGGUGAUGAGAUGACCAGCUUGAAGGACUAUGUGACCAGAAUGAAGGAGGGACAGAGCGAUAUCUAUUACAUCACUGGUGAGAGCAAGAAGGCUGUGGAGAACUCUCCAUUCCUGGAGAAGCUGAAGAAGAAGGGCUAUGAAGUUCUGUUCAUGGUUGAUGCCAUUGACGAGUAUGCAGUUGGACAAUUGAAGGAAUUUGAGGGUAAGAAGCUAGUAUCAGCAACCAAGGAAGGCUUGAAGCUUGACGAGAGCGAAGAUGAGAAGAAGAAGAAGGAAGCUUUGAAGGAGAAGUUUGAGGGU
rnacentral:lncRNA from 1 species